CUCAGAUUGAACGCUGGCGGCAGGCCUAACACAUGYAAGUCGAGCGGUAGAGAGAAGCUUGCUUCUCUUGAGAGCGGCGGACGGGUGAGUAAUGCCUAGGAAUCUGCCUAGUGGUGGGGGAUAACGUUCGGAAACGGACGCUAAUACCGCAUACGUCCUACGGGAGAAAGCGGGGGACCUUCGGGCCUCGCGCCAUUAGAUGAGCCUAGGUCGGAUUAGCUAGUUGGUGAGGUAAUGGCUCACCAAGGCGACGAUCCGUAACUGGUCUGAGAGGAUGAUCAGUCACACUGGAACUGAGACACGGUCCAGACUCCUACGGGAGGCAGCAGUGGGGAAUAUUGGACAAUGGGCGAAAGCCUGAUCCAGCCAUGCCGCGUGUGUGAAGAAGGUCUUCGGAUUGUAAAGCACUUUAAGUUGGGAGGAAGGGUAGUAACUUAAUACGUUGCUACUUUGACGUUACCGACAGAAUAAGCACCGGCUAACUUCGUGCCAGCAGCCGCGGUAAUACGAAGGGUGCAAGCGUUAAUCGGAAUUACUGGGCGUAAAGCGCGCGUAGGUGGUUCAGUAAGUUGGAAGUGAAAUCCCCGGGCUCAACCUGGGAACUGCUUUCAAAACUGCUGAGCUAGAGUACGGUAGAGGGUGGUGGAAUUUCCUGUGUAGCGGUGAAAUGCGUAGAUAUAGGAAGGAACACCAGUGGCGAAGGCGACCACCUGGACUGAUACUGACACUGAGGUGCGAAAGCGUGGGGAGCAAACAGGAUUAGAUACCCUGGUAGUCCACGCCGUAAACGAUGUCAACUAGCCGUUGGGAGUCUUGAACUCUUAGUGGCGCAGCUAACGCAUUAAGUUGA
rnacentral:rRNA from 1 species